CAUAUUUGUAAUAAAUAAUUAAAUAAUGUGUUUUUGUACAAUUUUUGGUAACAAUAUUGUUUAUUAUAUACGCAUAUUUUAUAUGCACGUUAUAUAGAAUAAGUUUUAGCUGUAUGUUUUUUAAUGGAAUAUAGUUUUAAAAAAAAAAAAAAAAAGAAGCGCAUGAUACCAUGACAUUUAAAAAAAAAAUUUUUAUUAAGUAUAUAUAUAUAUAUAUAUUUAAUAAUUUAUUAAAAAGCAUUUUGAUUACGUGCAAAAAAAAAAAAAAAAUAAAAAAAUAAAUAAAUAUGGCAGAAAAAUAUCCUUACGAAAAUUCACAUCAUUUACAAAACGCAACGCUAUUAGCUGAUAAUGCAAUAAACACAGUCGAAACUAAUUUAACUGUUUUGAGUUCUACCAUUAGUAAUGUAAAUGAACUAAGAAAUGAUCAAAUUGAAAAUAUAAACUCCAUUUCCACUACAACACUUAAAAAUAAUGAUAAGAUAUUACUAGUUGUAAUAUUUUGCGUUAUAUUAUUGUUUAGUAUUAUAUUUUUAUGUACAUUUUAUAAACACCGAAGAAAACUGAAAAAAUUAUUUCGUAAUUGGAAAAAUGAUGUGGAAUUUGCUGUAAAGGGUUGUAUACAGACACUUGAUUCAGAAAAUAAUUUGGCAGAUGAUACUGGUGUGGCCACACGACAACUAACAUCGACAACAAGCAUUUCAAGUAUAAGAUUUGAAGGAGAUGAUGAAAACAUGAACAAUGAAAAUAAUGAUGCUUCAAAUAUAAGAGAUACCGUGUGUGUAAAUAGUGGUAUUUUUGAUGUUGAAGAAUGUAAUACUAUAACUACUAAUAUGUCAAGUACUGUAUGUUCACCUUGUAAGUUAAGUACCGUAACACAUUAUGCUAAUGAUGAUUGUAAAAUCGAGUUUGCCACAUUACUUGGUGCUUCUAAAUCUGAUCUAAAUAAUGAUGUUGUUAAUCUUAAUGAUGAUGAAGAUGAUGGUGAUGAUAGUGAUGAUAGUAGUGAUCAUGAUGCUGGUGGUGAUAGUGGUGGUGAUAGUGGUGGUGAUAGUGGUGGUGAUAGUGGUGAUGGUGGUGAUGGUGGUGAUGGUGGUGAUGAUGAUGAAGAUGAAGAUGAUAGUGAUGAUAGUAGUGAUGAUGAUAGUAGUGAUGAUGAUAGUAUUGAUCAUGAUGGUGGUGGUGAUGGUGGUGAUGNNNNNNNNNNUGGUGUUAAUGGUGUUAAUGGUGUUAAUGGUGUUAAUGGUGUUAAUGAUGGUGAUGAUGUUGCCGUUGAGGAUGGUACGGUUGGUGGUGCGGUUGGUGGUGCAGUUGGUGGUGCGGUUGGUGGUGCAGUUGGUGGUGCUAUUGCUGCUGACGCUAGUGCUAUUACUGCUAAUGCUCUUGCUGCUGCUGCGGCUAAUGCUCUCACUGCUUCUGCUAAUGCUAAUGCUGCUGCCAGUGCGGCUGCUGCUGCUGCUGAUGAAGCUACUGAUGUUGCUGAUGCUGCUGAUGCUGUAUUUC
rnacentral:lncRNA from 1 species